UCGCCGCCGCUCUGCCGAGAUUAAAAAACCUGAAGUCCAUAAAUUUUGGGGACUGUUUGUUAAAAAGCUCAGGCGCCAAAGCAUUGGCCAAGUGUUUGAGAGACUCUGCGUUGUUGGAGUCGUGUGACCUCAGCCACAACGAGAUAGGGAGGGAGGCUUGCAUGGAGGUUGUCGACGCCCUGACCUCUCUACCGGACAGCGGCGAC
rnacentral:lncRNA from 1 species